AAUCUUCCCCAAUGGACGAAAGUCUGACGGAGCAACGCCGCGUGAGUGAAGAAGGUUUUCGGAUCGUAAAGCUCUGUUGUCAGGGAAGAACAAGUACGGAAGUAACUGUCCGUACCUUGACGGUACCUGACCAGAAAGCCACGGCUAACUACGUGCCAGCAGCCGCGGUAAUACGUAGGUGGCAAGCGUUGUCCGGAAUUAUUGGGCGUAAAGCGCGCGCAGGCGGCUUCUUAAGUCUGAUGUGAAAGCCCCCGGCUCAACCGUGGAGGGUCAUUGGAAACUGGGAGGCUUGAGUGCAGAAGAGGAGAGCGGAAUUCCACGUGUAGCGGUGAAAUGCGUAGAGAUGUGGAGGAACACCAGUGGCGAAGGCGGCUCUCUGGUCUGUAACUGACGCUGAGGCGCGAAAGCGUGGGGAGCGAACAGGAUUAGAUACCCUGGUAGUCCACGCCGUAAACGAUGAGUGCUAAGUGUUGGAGGGUUUCCGCCCUUCAGUGCUGCAGCUAACGCAUUAAGCACUCCGCCUGGGGAGUACGGCCGCNAAGGCUGAAACUCAAAGGAAUUGACGGGGGCCCGCACAAGCGGUGGAGCAUGUGGUUUAAUUCGAAGCAACGCGAAGAACCUUACCAGGUCUUGACAUCCCGCUGACCGGUCUGGAGACAGGCCUUUCCCUUCGGGGACAGCGGUGACAGGUGGUGCAUGGUUGUCGUCAGCUCGUGUCGUGAGAUGUUGGGUUAAGUCCCGCAACGAGCGCAACCCUUGAUCUUAGUUGCCAGCAUUCAGUUGGGCACUCUAAGGUGACUGCCGGUGACAAACCGGAAGAAGGUGGGGAUGACGUCAAAUCAUCAUGCCCCUUAUGACCUGGGCUACACACGUGCUACAAUGGAUGGUACAAAGGGCUGCAAGACCGCAAGGUUUAGCCAAUCCCAUAAAACCAUUCUCAGUUCAGAUUGCACGCUGCAACUCGCCUGCGUGAAGCCAGAAUCGCUAGUAAUC
rnacentral:rRNA from 1 species